rnacentral:lncRNA from 1 species
UGGACAGAGUCAUGCGUGGAAUUGCUAUUUUAAUGUUCUAAUUCAUAGGUGUCGCUCGUUGGUGAUCAUACAUAAUUCAGUAGCGAACGAAUAAAAGGGAUAGCAGAGAAAAGAUCCAUUAAUGGGAAGACUUCGAAGGUAUUAUCGGUUCUUACGUCAUUCCACGCUCGUUGUGCAUUUCUCGCCGUGUCGGUAUGCAAUAAAAGAUUAAUCGAAGAAUAGAAAAAAGAU